AUUGAACGCUGGCGGCAGGCUUAACACAUGCAAGUCGAGCGGGGGAAGGUAGCUUGCUACCGGACCUAGCGGCGGACGGGUGAGUAAUGCUUGGGAAUCUGCCUAUUAGUGGGGGACAACAUCUCGAAAGGGAUGCUAAUACCGCAUACGUCAUACGGGAGAAAGCAGGGGAUAUUCGGACCUUGCGCUAAUAGCUGAGCCUAAGUCGGAUUAGCUAGUUGGUGGGGUAAAGGCCUACCAAGGCGACGAUCUGUAGCGGGUCUGAGAGGAUGAGCCGCCACACUGGGACUGAGACACGGCCCAGACUCCUACGGGAGGCAGCAGUGGGGAAUAUUGGACAAUGGGGGGAACCCUGAUCCAGCCAUGCCGCGUGUGUGAAGAAGGCCUUAUGGUUGUAAAGCACUUUAAGCGAGGAGGAGGCUACUUUAGUUAAUACCUAGAGAUAGUGGACGUUACUCGCAGAAUAAGCACCGGCUAACUCUGUGCCAGCCGCCGCGGUAA
rnacentral:rRNA from 1 species